ACUCACGAAUGCCAGCCACUACAGUCGACAUCUGGCGAGCGAUGACGUGGAGGUGGAGCCCAAGUUUCUGUUGGUUAUCGACGCAGUUACAGUUACAAAUAUUUUGCAAAAAUUAGAUACACAAUCUAAUUAUCUACAGACUCUAAAUAUGGAUUUGAAAAAGAAAGUUACUCGUCUACAAAUAAACUGAUUUAUUACAAAGUUGUACAUGGAUACAAGGUGGCGCAUUUUCUUAUUAUAUAAAAAGGACCGAUUAUCCCGUCCGUUGCACAACAUUCCGGCCAAAAUUUGAAAGGACGCUUCUUCCGGCUAAACGAGAACCGACGAGAUUAUCGUUGAUGAACGCGAUAUAAUUAAUGAUAAUAUUAAUAAUAUCCCCUAUAAAUAUGUACACAAUAUAUAAUGUCCCUAAUUAUGCACAAUGAUUGGAAUUAUUUUAUACAUAAGUAUAUAUACAAAUGCGCGCUGUAUAUAUAUAUGUAAUAAUAAUAACCAUAACGCGAUUAUUAAUAAUCAUGAUAUAUAUAAUAGAUUUUCUCAUCAAAAAAUUCAUUCGUAUAUUGUUUUAUCAACAAUUUAUCUCUCAUUAGUUUACUUCUAUAAUUACCUUUAUUUCAUUAUUGACUUUGCUUAAACUGUAAGAGCUACGUAAGAAAAACGAAUGAAUUUCUCGUGAUCUCGACAUAACAUAUUACUAAUAAUAUAUUAAUUUUAUAGCAGUCAUCAUUAAUUUAUAUUGUAGAGUUUCGCUAUUAAUAUUUGCACAAAUGAAAAAUUAAUCAUAUAAUCUCAACUUUAUACACACACGCACAUUUAGAGGGAUAUGUAUUUUUACAUACAUAUCGUAAAAAAUUUUUACUAAAUACAUUGGUCAGUCUCACAAUCGUUAUUUUUAAUAUUUAUGUGAAAUUUUUUACUCUCAAAUCUCCUUCUCCUUAAAUCUCUCCAAUAAAAAGCUUCCGGAUUUUCAAAACUUGUAGAAAUCUCGAAUUGAAAGUUAGAUUUAUCUUAAAUGUAACUAUAUGUAUAUUACAUGCCAAUAUCUUUCCUUAUAUAACAUAAAUCUAAUACAAAAUCAUAUAAAUAAAAUUCCUGCAUUCUAUCUUUCUUAAGUUCCAAAAUGUUAUAACUUCUCGAGAAUUAAAAUUUAUAAUCUAACUCAAUAUUUUAUUAAGAACAAAUUUACAUGUUAAACUUGGAUUGGUGUUGGAAACUUGUGCAUAAGUGUGUAUCUAAAGUCCAUUUAAAAUGUAUUACAAUUUAAUAUUUAAAAAUUGCAGGAUUUUAAGAAACAAAUUUAUUCCAAUUUGUUAUAAAUUUAAAAUAUUUAAAAAUUUAUGUAAAAUAAAUUUAUCAAAAUUUAAAAACGUCUUCCAAUUUCCACUAAGAUUCAAGUUUUGUCGCGCUCGCUUUUGCAAUUAUUUUAUCAAUUUCUUAUCAGAAACGCUCGAUUUAGUUUUUUUCAACUCCAUAUGUAUCCAUUAUUUUCAGACUUCAAUCAUUAAAUUUUUCAGUAUAAAAGUUAAUUAAAAAGAAAUCCCGAAACUUUUGCAAAGACAGGAGAAAUAUAAAUUAUAUCGCACCACAUAUUUUUCGAUUACUAUUUCCUUAGAUUCUGUCCUUAGAUUAUUAGUUAAAUUGUAACACGCGAGAACACGCGCUUUAAUUUUAUUACAGCAAAUAUUUUAUCAUUACAUAUGUAAAAUACAUGUAUUUUACAAAUAUUUAUCUAGAAAAUGGAUGUAUCAAAAAUUUUGUGAACACAAUCCGGUCGUGUUUCCUUAUUACCUAGUCUAUAUCAUAAUAAAUUAUUAUUAUGAUAAUAUAAGUAAAUACACGCACUAAAAAACAUUCAGUCGAACUUAUUUCAAAUAUAUUAAAGCUUAAAACAGGUCCGAGUAAAACUUUUAUUUUUAUAAAUUAUUUAGUGCAUGUGUGAUUACUUGUUAUACUACAAUAAUAAUUAUUUAUUAUUUCAUGUGUCCAGAUUGAUCUAAAAAUUCUCCGAUUAAAAAUAAAACAAAAUUGUAACAUGCGCAGAAUUUUUUGAUCAAUCUAGAUAUAUAACUAGAUUUAAAAAAAAUUUUUUUUCCGGCGAUAACAAACGCCAUUGUAGCAUGUGUUCUCGCGAAUUGGUUAUUAAAAGUUAUCAUGUAAAAGUAAAAAAAAGAAAAGAAAAAUUAAUGUUUGUUUUGAGAUACCAAUAAUUUUUUGAUAAAAUAACAAAUUUGCACAAAUUUACGAAUGUUUCGGCGAUCAAUAUCGACGGAUGGACCACUGACAAGGAGCUGAUAUUCAAAUUUUCUCCAACAUCAUAAUUAACAAAAUUGAUAACAGAAUAUAAUUAUUCAAUUAAAUAUAAAAUCAUGAUACGUAUAAGUAAUAUUUUAUAAGAAUUUUAUAAGAAAUUCUAAAUAUAUAGAAUUCCAAAGAUACUUUAAGAUUGUAAAAAUUAAUUUCUUGCUGUAAAAUUACAAACAUUACUAUACAAUAGUUUAAGAAAUUGCAGUUUUACAAUUUGCGAUCUUAAUAGAGUUAAAAGAACAUUCUCUUUAUUCAAAUAACUUCGUUGAUCUUUUGCUCCUUUCACAGAUGUCUCCGCGAUAUAUAUGUAUAUGAUUUUAUAAAUUUUAUCGUAUUUUUACAUCAUGUAUUCAUAUGCUUUGUCUUUUCAUGUAUCUUAUAUAAUCUAUUGUAAAUUUUUGUAUCCUGUACUUGUGCAUAUUUAUACAAUAUCAUAUAUCUUUAUGUAAAGUUGUAUAUGCAUACAUACGCGCACAUACACGCACGCGCAUAUGUAUGUAUAUGUAUAUAUUUUCUGGUAAAUAAAAUUUGAAUUUACAAUCUAUUUUUCCUCAACUUUUCUAAAACUCGGUUUUUUUUUAAAUAUAUUCGAAUAUUUUUCUGUUAUCUUGAUACGCCAUUUAUCAUAUCACACCACAUUUCAAUGUAAAAACAUUUUGUAAUUUUUUAAAAUUUAAUAUGAUUGAUCUGUUUGAACGAAUAUUAAUGUAUCAACUAACAACUGAUAUCAAUUAAUUAAUAUUGGUACUAUUAAUGUGUGUGCUAAUGGCGCUUAAGAAUAUAUAUUAAUUAAUUAAUAUCAAUUUAAUAGCUAAUAUUAAUUGAUCACUUAAGGACAUGAAAAAUAAAUAAUUUCCACGAUAUUGCCAGUGAUUGCAAUUCCCGUUAUCUUUCAUCGAUAACUACAUUUAUUUUCUGGCAGUGUUAAAAAAAUCACGAAGUAAAGAUCACUGAUCCAUAUAAAAAUAUAUGUGCAUACAAUAUACGUAUAAAUUUACUUAAAAAAAGGAAUAUGUUUAGUAGCGAAAAUAAGUCAACUUAUGAAAUAAAUAAAUAAGGGAAGUUAUCUGUUUUGCAAUCCAGACAGAAUCAUAGAACUCGUUAUCUAAGCUUUACCGAACUUCAUAAAUAUACAUCAUAUAAAUGCAAAAUUUAAUUUAAAUGUAAAUUCAGAUUUAAAUAUUUUGUGAUAAAUAUUUAAAACUAUAUUUAAUUUAAAUAUAAAUUUGUGCUUAUCUAUCCUUUUUACUAUGAUCCAGUCUCGAUUAUCACAUAUAUUAACUACGAUAAAUCAUAAUAAGAGAAGACAAUAAUUAUCAGUAUUGUAUCUCACAAUAAAGAGAAAUGAUAGAGAUCAUACAAGAAAUGUACAAAUGUGAUCUAUCGCAAGAAAAGGCGAACGAUUAGCGUCAUCCUUCGAUAGAUCAGACUUUUCGAUGUUUGAUUAUGAAAAAACUGUUAUAGCUUCCUGUUAUACUACUAUACGAUUGUCGGUGAGCCUUCGCAAGUCCGAUGGGCAAUUUAAACGAGCUUUUUCUUUCUGAUUUUCUCGGCAAUAUUUUGCGACUCAAUGGUGAAACUUGAAGUAAAGUUUGAUUUUCAGAAAAUUUUAAAUAUAAAUAAUUACACAUACAAUUACACAUAAAAUUGUCGGCCAUAUAUAUGAAUCUUUGGUGUUAUGUCAAUUUUCGUAUAUAUUUUCGUCUCUAUAAUUUAAACCUCAAUAUAUAAUUUCAUCAAAUUUAGUGUCAUUUAUCUUAAUUUUUUUCUUUUUAUUAACUUUUCAAAACAUACGCGAUGUGCUGCAAGAGAUUACUAUUCUAGAUCCACCAUAGCAAUUGUCAAAUCCUAAUAAUUUUGAUCAUUAUACUCGAAACAAUUUGACGAAUGGUUCUAAGUUUCAAUUCUUGUUGAAUAGUAAUAAAGAAAACAAUGACUCACGCUGGACGGAUUCGACAAUAUUUAUUGCACAUUUCAUAUUUUCCAAUAUAAUGUCAAAUCCAACUUUUAAGGCCGGCAUUCAUAGUCGAGUCUUAUUUCAAGAUCGUCUCAAAUAAUGUCUUAAGAUGUUAAUAGGGCUCUGAGAUUAGUUGAUGGCAUCAUAACAUAAUAAUUAAGAUAAUCUUAAAUAUAAAAUUCAACUAUAAAUACCGAUCUCAGAGUCAUUACAGUUUCCUUUUUUUUAAUAUAAUAACUUUUAAGUUCGUGGUUUCUUAUAUCCAGAUAAUGAAAAAAUAUAGUAUAUUUUUGAGUACUUGGGUAUUUUACAUUAUCAAAUAUAUAUGCGCCAUGACGCAUAUUUUUCAAAAUAAUUACAUAAAAAGAAAUUUCGACACAUGGCAGUUCCACGAAGUCUCACACAAUUUUCAAUUUAAUUAAUCCUUGGCAUAGAUUCUCGGUUCCACGAAUGCAUAAAUUUUGCUUUUAAUGAAUCUUUUCACAUCAAUUAUUUUUUCUUUUUUAAUCGUAAGGUAAAUGUCCAAGUGACUGGAUAUGUGUACCUGUAUAUCCACACACUUAUACAAAAAUUAUUAAUCUCAACUGUUUUUUAUUAUAAUAUUAAAAUUUAAUUGUAAUAUUUAAAUAUUCAAGAUUGUAACUAAAUUUUAAUAUUCUAAUAAAAAAAAAGCAUUUGAGAUUAAUAAUAAGUUUUUGUAUUAGUAUUUAUAGGUCUGGUCCAUCACUGGGACGCUUACAUGAAUUUUAUCAAAUGGCCGCCUUUUUUCUAUUGUGCGUGUAAAAAAAAUCUGAAAACAACCCCACGAUCACAGUUGCGGCUUGUCCUCAACAGGUACUCGGCUUGUACAUCUUUUUAGCCCGUUCUUCCUUCGUGUGUUUAGCGCUAAGAAGAGUAAUCGAAGAUGAUCAAACAAUUUAUAUUAAACAUUUAUCUCCGAUUAUUCUUCCUUUUUGUCUAAUUAAAACUCCAUGUCCUCAAUAUUUUUAUAUGGGCUCAAACGUCAGCAAAUGUUAUUAUUUGUAAAUAAUUUGAAGUUGCUUUUUCAUUUUUAUUAUAAAAAGGUCGACUUCAAAUUGACAAGAGAUCCAUUGAUAAUGAAAAAAGUAAUAAAUGUCCCAUAUAGAGUGAGAAUUGAGAGAAAACAAACUUUGCGCUAAACAUGCAAUCGAAGCAUGCCCAUCUCUUCUUUGUUAACUAGGAACUAACAGUUUUUACUUAUUUAGUCUUCUCUCCCUUUCUUCCUCUUUCUUUUUCUAUAGAAAUGUUUCUGUAUAUAAGUAUCAUAUACUCUAAAAUUAUUUAUCAAAGAUUCGCUGGUCCAGUUUGCCAAUCUGAUUGCCACUUUUAACUCCUCUAUCUAGAUCUUUCUUUUUUUCUAGUAAUACUGUCUAAAUACAGACUAAAACGGACUUUCGGCCCGCUAUAAUUGUUUGCGUUUAUUUAUUGCUAUCGAUCUGGGUCAUUAUCUGACCGUUCAUUAAUUUACGUCAUGGAGCAUCGUGAUCUGGAAGGAGAUGCAAGAAAUUGAUUUUUUUCCUUCUUGCCUCUUUUUUUGGACCCAGACGAGAAUCGAUUGGCAGCUUGGAACUUGUACAAGGUGUCCCGCAACAACCGUUAGAUAUCCUUUCAAAAAAAUCUUUUUUGAAUCUAUUAAAUUCAUCAAUUUUCUCUUGGUAAAUGUGUAAAAAUUCUAAUUUUUCUAUAUUCAAAUACAUUUUCGUAAUUAAAUCAAUCAAUUAAUUAAUCGUUAUACACGAAAAGUUUUGUUUUUCGUUUAUGUGCUUAAUUUUUAGGUAAUUUAAAAGAGCAAAAAA